GCGGGUAGCUCACUGGGUAUAGAGCGGCCGGGGUCAUACCCGGCAUGGACGCCGGUUCGACUCCGGCCCCGCACCA
rnacentral:tRNA from 1 species